rnacentral:rRNA from 1 species
CAGUCGCCGCGGUAAUACAGAGGGUGCGAGCGUUAAUCGGAUUUACUGGGCGUAAAGCGUGCGUAGGCGGCUUUUUAAGUCGGAUGUGAAAUUCCUGAGCUUAACUUAGGAAUUGCAUUCGAUACUGGGAAGCUAGAGUAUGGGAGAGGAUGGUAGAAUUCCAGGUGUAGCGGUGAAAUGCGUAGAGAUCUGGAGGAAUACCGAUGGCGAAGGCAGCCAUCUGGCCUAAUACUGACGCUGAGGUACGAAAGCAUGGGGAGCAAACAGGAUUAGAUACCCCAGUAGUCCCUGUCUCUUAUAA